GAUGUUACAUGAAAUUUAUAUAACUUUUUGUUAGUUGUCGACUUCUAAUAAACGUGACCGACAAAUUCUAAAUCUUUUAGAAUAAUAUAAUUAUCAAAAGUUUAUCAGACUUCGGGAACGCGGACACAGGUGGUGCAUGGGUGUUGUCAGCUCGUGCCGUAAGGUGUUGGGUUAAGUCCCGCAACGAGCGCAACCCUCAUGUUUAGUUGUCAUCGUUGAGUUCAGUCGGUGAUAAGCUGGAGGAAGGUGAAGAUGACGUCAAGUCAUCAGGCCCCUUAUGCCCUGGGCUACACACGUGCUACAAUGGCCAGGACAAAGGGUCACGAUCCCGCGAGGGUUCGGAUUGCAGGCUGCAACUCGCCUACAUGAAGCCGAAAUC
rnacentral:ncRNA from 1 species